GGGCCCGCACAAGUGGUGGAGCAUGUGGUUUAAUUCGAUGCAACGCGAAGAACCUUACCAACCCUUGAAAUCUAGCGAAGUUCACAGAGAUGAGAAUGUGCCUUCGGGAACGCUAUGACAGGUGUUGCAUGGCUGUCGUCAGCUCGUGUCGUGAGAUGUAUGGUUAAGUCCAGUAACGAGCGCAACCCCUAUCCUUAUUUGCCAGCGCGUUAAGGCGGGAACUAUAGGGAGACUGCCGGGUGAAACCCGGAGGAAGGCGGGGACGAGGUCAAGUCAUCAUGGCCCUUAUGUCCAGGGCUGCACGCAUGCUACAAUGGCAAGUACAACGAGUCGCAAUACCGCGAGGUGGAGCAAAUCUCUUAAAGCUUGUCUCAGUUCGGAUAGGAGUCUGCAACUCGACUCCUUGAAGUUGGAGUCGCUAG
rnacentral:rRNA from 1 species